AUGGAGGCGCAGUGGCUCGCCGAGUACCCGCACCAGGCCGCCGACAACCGGCCGCGCAAGCGCCCCCGGCUCGCCUGGGAUGCCGCGUCGCAGCUCUUCCCGCCUCCCAAGGCAAUCCCGAUGCUAUAUUGUGGGCAGGAACUAAUCAACGGUAAUUUCACUACUGCUUUCCUGCCGCCGCCACCAAUUUAUUAUGCUGGACCGCCGCGGAAUCUUUCGCCCCCUUGGAGGCCGGAUGACAAGGAUGGCCACUAUGUUUUCACACUCGGCGAGAACCUUACGCCAAGAUAUAGGAUACUCAGCAAGAUGGGCGAAGGGACCUUUGGACAAGUUUUGGAAUGCUGGGACUUGGAAAACCAAGAAUCAGUAGCUAUCAAGAUUGUGCGUUCCCUGCAGAAAUACCGGGAGGCUGCUAUGAUUGAAAUUGACGUGCUUCAGAGACUUGGGAAGCAUGAUUUUACUGGUAGUCGUUGUGUGCAAAUACGGAAUUGGUUUGACUAUCGUAAUCAUAUAUGUAUAGUAUUUGAGAAGCUUGGACCAAGCUUAUACGACUUCCUACGGAAGAAUAGCUACCGUUCAUUUCCUAUUGAUCUUGUUCGGGAGUUUGCCAGACAAAUAUUAGAGUCUGUUACAUUUAUGCAUGACCUGCGGCUUAUUCACACAGAUCUUAAGCCAGAGAACAUUCUCCUUGUUUCACCUGAUACAAUCAGGGUUCAUGAUUAUAAGAUUCCUAUACGCCCACCCAAGGAUGGGUCUGUUUUCAAGAACCUUCCAAAAUCGAGUGCUAUCAAGCUUAUCGAUUUUGGAAGUACAACAUUCGAUCAUCAAGAUCACAAUUAUGUCGUGUCAACAAGACAUUACCGUGCCCCAGAAGUUAUCCUUGGUCUUGGGUGGAAUUAUCCAUGCGAUCUUUGGAGUGUGGGAUGCAUUUUGGUUGAGCUCUGCUCGGGGGAGGCUUUAUUUCAAACACAUGAAAAUUUGGAGCAUCUUGCUAUGAUGGAGAAGGUUCUAGGCCCCCUUCCCAAACACAUGAUCGCCAGAGCUGAUAGACGAGCUGAGAAAUACUUCAGGCGUGGACUAAGGCUUGACUGGCCAGAGGGGGCAGCCUCACGAGAAAGCAUGAAGGCAGUAUGGAAAUUGCCUCGUCUGCAGAAUCUGGUCAUGCAACAUGUCAAUCAUUCUGCUGGGGAUCUAAUAGAUCUUCUUCAGGGGCUUCUUCGGUAUGAUCCUGAUGAGCGUCUUAAGGCACGACAAGCUCUUCAACACCCUUUCUUUACCAGAUGCCACAGAAGAUGUGGUUACUGA
rnacentral:rRNA from 1 species